GACAGAGGUGCCGAGCGUUAGGCGGAAUCACUGGGCGUAAAGGGUGCGUAGGCGGGUCUUUAAGUCAGGGGUGAAAUCCUGGAGCUCAACUCCAGAACUGCCUUUGAUACUGAGGAUCUUGAGUUCGGGAGAGGUGAGUGGAACUGCGAGUGUAGAGGUGAAAUUCGUAGAUAUUCGCAAGAACACCAGUGGCGAAGGCGGCUCACUGGCCCGAUACUGACGCUGAGGCACGAAAGCGUGGGGAGCAAACAGG
rnacentral:rRNA from 1 species